rnacentral:lncRNA from 1 species
UGUUGCGGCUGCUGUUGCUGGUUCAUGUAAAGAUUCAUCCCCGUCAUCAGCUUUGGGGGUCCCAUUGGCCCCAUUCCUGUUCUCUGCAUUGGGUUCAUAGGACGGUGCAGAUUCUGGCCCAGCAUUGAAAGACCAGUAGAACCUGGGUGUGAGUGCAUCUGUCUGGUUCCUGUCAUGCCAGCUAUGCCUGCCUGACGGCCACCUAAAAUUGCUGGGUUCAACAUUCUAAUUUUUGCCGCCAUUGUGCCUAAUUGUGGAUUCCGAAAUUGUUGACCUAGCAUAUUGGUAACACUUGAAGCCUGAUUCAGAUUCAUUGCAUUCUGACCCACAUUGCCCAUGCUAGAGAUAGACCCCAUUGGUGCUGAAAUUCCAGUACUUCCCAUACCCCUUGCACCCCCAAUGCCCAUGACAUUGCCCAAACCUUGGAGGCUUGCAAUGUUAUUGCCCAUGUUUCCCAUAUUCACAGCUGUUCCAAGUCCCAUCAUCAUUUUCCUCUGCAUUGGCUGCUGCUGUUGUUGCUGCUGCUGCUGCUGCUGCUGCUGCUGUUGCUGCUGCUGCUGCUGCUGCUGUUGCUGCUGCUGCUGCUGCUGCUGCUGUUGCUGUUGCUGUAACAUCUGGAGUUGGAGAGUGGCGGAAGGCUUGUUGACCAUGUGAUUGCCCAACUGCAUGUUUGAAUUCUGUCCCAUUGCACUUAGGUGUGAGAGUGGAUUUGUUGGAAGCAUAAGAGAUGAUCUCUGGAACUGAGAAUGCUGCUGUUGAAUCAAAGACUGUGGAUUCUGCUGCUGUGGCUGCUGAAGUGGUUGUGGAUUGAGCUGUUGUGGCCUGGUAGGCAAGGAAACCCCAGUCAAGAGUCCUUGCGAUAUCUGUAAUGCUUGAGCAUUUCCAGGAGGUAGCAUCCUUGAGUUUGCUAGAAGAUUCUGGGAUGCGUUUAAGGGUGUAUUGCCACUAUUAGUCGGUUUUGCCACUUCAUUGUGAGGCUGACCUGAAGCUGUUUCUGAAUAUUGCUGCAUCUCAGCUGCCGAAUUAUUAGGAGAGAUUCCAGGAGCAUUAGAUUGAUUGCUUGAGGCAAGAUUCAUGCGAGCUGGCUUUGGUUGGACACGAUCCUCCAUAAGAUGAUAUCCUUCACGGUUCAUC